CCUCCUGUAGCAUAUUGGGUCAGUGUUUCUGGCUGUUAACCAGAAGGUUGUUGGUUCGAGCCCACCCAGGGGGU